rnacentral:rRNA from 1 species
AUUGAACGCUGGCGGCAGGCCUAACACAUGCAAGUCGAGCGAGCGGCGGACGGGAGAGUAAUGUAUGGGGGCUGCCCGAUAGAGGGGGAUAACUACUGGAAACGGUGGCCAAUAACGAAUAAUAUCGGAUAACCCUUGUGGUAUUAGCUAGUAGGUGGGUUAAAGGCUCACCUAGGCGACGAUCUCUAGCUGGUCUGAGAGGGUGAUCGGCGAAACUGGAACUGAGACACGGCCCAGACUCCCGGGGAGGCAGCAGUGGGGAAUAUUGGACAAUGGGCGAAAGCCUGAUGCGGCCAUGCCGGGUGUAUGAAGAAGGUCUUAGGUUUUUAAACUACUUUCAGCGGGGAGGCGUUACCCAAACAAAAAGGACCGGCUAACUCCGUGCCAGCAGCCGCGGUAAUUC